UGAAAACAAGACACCCUGCGUAUGAAGAACUCACUUGAGCACUAUGACCACGCAGGAGAGAUGGAAGAGCAGGAAAUAGAGCCGUGCCCCUUUGCUGGUGACGUGGACAAACCCCUCGGUAAGAAGUGGACAAUAGGUCAAGACUCUGGACUCUGAAGCCGCUGCAAUGAACAAAACACCUCGGCGCGGCUGAAGCUGGCGGCCUGAACCAGCCGGAAGGUGUAGAAGGCCAGGCAGCAGGACUCCACCAGCAUCGUGGCCUGCGCACGUGCGACGCCACUCGAGAACACUGGUUGGGAUGCUUACUGCAGUGCUAGGACUGUACAACUGAUCAAUUAGCUAUUCAUUUAAUUAAUUUCAGCUUUAAUCGCAAUCAAUUUCUUACCCAGUUUGAUCUUACUCCUAGUUGUGGCCAUGUUAACAUGCGACGACAAAGGCCAGUUCACA